rnacentral:lncRNA from 1 species
UUCCAUGUAUAUCAAGAGACACGGUAGUGGCUCGCGCCAAGUGAAAGCGCAGCGCGAGCCCGACCGUGCUCUUUACGCGAGUACGCGACUUGCGAGCACUCGAGAUUAUUGAAUCUCAGAAACGGUUAAAUUGAUCGAGUUUCUAAGUAAGCUCAAUCGAAAGCUUGGGGUCGAUUUAUAUUAGAAAACUAUUUUUAUUUUUUCUCUACAUGUCCUAUGAAUGGAGAUAUCGCGACGCAAAGUCCGAAAAGCCAAAAUUUCAUUUAAGAUACGUCGUCGUCAUCGUCAACCUUGUUGGUAUCUCUGCGGGUAGUGCGGGUGCCGAAAAUGAGGGACGAAAAUCCAUUUCGCUCAUCUACUACCGUGUGGCGUUCGCAUCGUCACUAUAGCACCGUAUAUGGCAAUGUAUAAGUCACGUGGUCACCAGUGGCUCGCUCGCGCCGUGAAUUAGUUGUGUGAAGAUGAUAGGUUAUAUAUGAGGUUUUAUUAUUAUUAAUCAUUGACACCAAUAUAAAUUAAUUAAUUAAUCAGAGAGUAACAUAGCUCAAUUUAUCGAUGAGGUCACAUAAGUUGCUUCGGCCACAGGUCAGCUCCUGUCAAGUGACAUGUGUAGUGGAGGUUAAAUUAUUUAUUUAAUGAUUUUAAUCAUUGACACCAAUAUAAAUUAAUUAAUUUCAGAGAGUAACAUAGCUCAGAUUUAUCGAUGAGGUAGAUGAGAUGUUGCGUGAUGUAAAAUGUGUAAUUAUUGUUGUAAUUUCAAUGAUAAUGUUGUAAGGAUAAUAAAGUAAAGAAUAAAAAUAGUAUAUUGAUUGAUUGACAAUUACAGCAACAUUUAUCCAAUACACAAUUCUUCUACAUCAUACAAUAUUUCAUCUCUCAUCGACACUAAUAUAAAAUUACAGAGCUAUUUUAUUUUUAAUUUUAACCGGUCACAUAAGUUGCUCCGGCCACAGGUCAGCUCCUGUUAAGUGACAUGUGUAGUGGAGGUUAAAUCAUUUAUUUAAUGAUUUUUAACAUCUCAUCUAUUUAAUCAUCGUUCAUUAAGAUUUUCCACUUGUGUCGAUGAAAUAAAUGAGAUUGACACAAAUGUAAAAUUAAAUAAUCAGAGAAUAACAUAGCUCAGAUUUUAUACUGGUGUUGAUGAGGUAGAUGAGAUGUUGCAUGAUGUAGAAAAUGUGUAUUAUUGCUGUAAUUGUCAAUCAUGUUAUAAGGAUAAAAACUAUCAUCAUCACCAAGGUAUUACUUUUGUCACCAAGAUACAAUUAUAUGUUACUAGUAAAGAAUAAAAUAGUAUUGUUAAAACCAUUUAUUUGAUUUGAAAUUUUGUUAGAUAAUUAAUAUUGAUUGACAAUUACAGCAACAUUUAACCAAUACACAAAUCUUCUACAUCAUACAUCUCAUUUCUCAUCGAUACUAAUGUAAAAUCAGAGAGCUAUUUUAUUUUAAUAAUCGGUUACGCAGGUUGCUCGGGCCACGGGUCAGCCCGUGUCAAGUGACAUAUGUAGUAUUGGUUAAAUCAUUUAUUUAAUGAUUUUUCAGGAAAUAUAUUAUUUAAAUUAAAUUAGUGACCAAACAUAAUUACCUUUUUAAAUAAAAAUGUAAAAAGGGCUCCAAGUGUGUGGGCUUCUUUAAGGGAAGACAGAAA